AUCCUUCUAGGUUAUACACAUGAUGAUUGGUCUAAUCACAAUUUCAUUGUGAAAUGUGCAGCCUCAUUGUUAUGCUAAGCACAAGACCUGUCUGAUC
ensembl:snoRNA